UUGAAACUGGAAAUAUGGUAACCCUAGAGGAAUGCAGCCUGAUGGCAUUUAAAGCAGCACCCAGCAGACCUAUGGAAUUUGGAAGAAAGGGGGAUUCAAGCAAUGAGUGCACAAGUUCAUUGUUCGUAUUAUACUGCUUGACUGCACCUUACUGCUACACCUAAUAAACUCUGUGGACUUCAUCCAUCCUGGACUCUUCCCAACCCUCACAAUUGUAUCCUGCUUCCUACUACCUGUAACUGAGCGUGUGCUUUUUGUAAACCACCUCUGAACUUCUGAAUGUGGCAUUGUUUUUUGGGGUCUUCAGUGUACUGACUUUAUAAGCAUUGCAUCCCCACCCCACCCUGACCCCUGUCCUUUCCCCACUUCCCACUCCUGGGCUUAGUGGGCUGCAUGCUCUAUAUGCAACUUAGGUACAUUCCCACCCCUACUCCUAUCCUGCACAAAGUAGCCCCUUGCUCAGGUCCUCAGUAUUUCCUUCUAUCUUAAACUUUGUAACUUGAACUUUAACAUUCUCUAAUAAAGUAAAUCUGUUCUAAGU